GUAUCUGAAGCACACAAAAUUAACAAACGGCGCGCUCCUGUAAAAUUCUCAAUCGCCCAAACCAACUUUCCGGUACCGUUAACACCAGCGAUCACUUUUCCGACGGGUCGCCAACCCAGCAAUGGCUUCGGUCCCUUCAAAGCUCUAUGCCGAUGACGUCAGCCUUCUGAUGGUUUUGUUAGACACCAACCCUUUCUUCUGGAGCUCAUCUUCUCUCCCAUUCUCCAAGUUCCUCUCCCACGUGCUUACAUUUUUGAACUCGAUUUUACUACUCAAUCAGCUCAACCAAGUAGUGGUUAUUGCUACCGGGUACAGUUCAUGUAGCUACAUCUACGAUUCUGCUUCGGCUCCGAGCCACGGCUCUGAUCAAGGAAGAAUGCCUGCGCUUUGCUCUAACUUGUUGCAGAAGUUGGAGGAAUUUGUGACCGAAGACGAGCAAUUGCUCAAGGAAGCCUCAGCCGAAGGGAUUCCUUCUUCGCUGUUAUCGGGGUCACUGUCAAUGGCUCUAUGCUAUAUACAGAAGGUUUUUCGAUCAGGACCAAUGCAUCCUCAACCCCGGAUUUUAUGCUUGCAGGGAUCGUCAGAUGGACCUGAUCAAUAUGUUGCGAUUAUGAAUGCAAUAUUUUCUGCACAGCGUUCAAUGGUUCCUAUAGACUCUUGCUAUAUGGGCUCUCAUAACUCUGCCUUCCUACAGCAGGCUUCAUACAUUACUGGUGGUGUAUAUCUGAAGCCCCAACAACCAGAUGGACUGCUUCAAUAUCUUACGUUUUUGCCACUGAUUUGCAUUCCCGAGCAUUUUUACAGCUUCCCAAGUCUGCUGGAGUGGAUUUUCGUGCUUCGUGCUUUUGCCAUAAAAAAACAAUAGACACAGGCUACAUUUGUUCUGUGUGCUUGUCCAUAUUUUGCAAGCAUCACAAGAAAUGUUCAACUUGUGGGUCAGUAUUUGGUCAAGCCCAGUCAGAAGUUCCCUCAUCAACCAACAGAAAAAGAAAGGCUUCAGACACCUGAUGAUUGUAUCCAAAAACAUUCCUGGUAUCUUAAUUGGAUUUUGUCUAUGGUCUCUGAGUUAUCAUUAGUCUAUUACUAAAUCGUUUUUGUUCACAUUUGCUGCCAGUGAUAUUGAGAGCUAUCACAAAAUCAUUUUCGUUCACAUUUACCGGUAGUGAUCUGAUAUUUCUGAGAGCUGUCACAGAGCCCAAGUAGAGCAUUUUUUUGGGGGGCAAAAUGAGAUCCGGCCAUCAAAGUGAAGUUAGACCCAUUUAUGAUUUAUUGUACCUGGCCUCAUAUUAAGAGGAAGUACAGAGAAUGUAUACACAAUUAACAGAUUUAUUGUGAUCUUAACCCACUCUUUUUGUACUCUA